rnacentral:misc_RNA from 1 species
GAAAAUGUUGGAGCUUCCUAUUUGUUUUUUCGUUUGUUGACAUUCUGUUUUUGACGUGAGAUGAAUGUGUCAUUUUAAUUUUAGCAUAUACACACAAUUUUCCGAAAAUAAGUAAAUACAUUUACUUAACAGUGCAGUGGGCACCUAGUUUUCCAGAGAUAUGUGAACAUUCUGGUAGUAAAGCCACCGGUAUUAUGGCAUUUAUUUUGCGCAAAACUUAUUUAGUAAAGCAUAUUGGUAAAUUUUCAAAGUAAAUAAUGUCUAAUAACAAUUCCUCUAUCGGCAAAGCGAGAGGUAGGCCGCCAAAGAAAAUCAUAUCGUGUACCUGGUGUAAUGAAACGAAGCUUCCCUUGAAAUAUGUGUUUCCCACCACAAAUGGAAAGAAAGAGUUUUGCUCUGAGACUUGCCUUGCAGAAUUCCGAAAGGCAUAUGUCAAAGGAGCUUGCAUACAGUGUGAUAAUGUUAUUAGAGGCAAUGCUGCCCCUUCAAAAGAAUACUGCUCGACUUAUUGUAUGAACAAGCAUCAAAAGAAAGAAUUGGCAAGUACUAGAGUAGCUGCUGUGGCUCCUACUACACCAUUAGAGGGUUCUCCUGGACCAUUUCAGUAUGAGACAUAUCAAGCAUUUAACUGGGACGAAUACCUAAGAGAAACCAACAGCAUUGCAGCCCCUCAAAGUUGCUUUAAACAAGCCCCCAGUCCCCCCUAUAAUGACUUUGAAGUGAGCAUGAAAUUAGAAGCUCUAGAUCCCAGAAAUGUUACAUCUACGUGCAUUGCUACAGUGAUUAGUAUAUUAGGUCCCAGACUGCGAUUAAGAUUGGAUGGUAGUGAUAACAAAAAUGACUUUUGGAGGUUGGUUGAUUCUGGCGAAAUACAUGCAAUAGGUCAUUGUGAAAAGAAUGGUGGAAUGCUACAGCCUCCCUUGGGAUUCAGAAUGAAUGCCAGCUCGUGGCCGAUGUUUCUGCUCAAAAUCUUGAAAGAUGCGAAGAUGGCACCCGAAAAUAUAUUCCAAAAGGAACCUGUGGGCCCGCGACAAAACUUGUUCCAAAUCGGUCAGAAAUUAGAAGCUGUUGAUAAGAAGAACCCUCAGUUGAUUUGUUGUGCCACAGUUGGGGCUGUGAAGAACGACCAAAUCCAUGUCACUUUCGAUGGGUGGAGAGGAGCCUUCGACUACUGGUGUAGGUAUGACAGCAGAGAUAUAUUCCCUGUGGGGUGGUGUGCUAGAUCUGGGCACCCGAUGCAACCUCCUGGGCAGAAGAAUAGUGGUGGAACAAACAGAUUUAGAAUCAGACCAGCUUUCGCAGCUCCUCCACCUACUUCAUCAGUUAGUUCAACAGCUGCGGAAGUUCAAUCCCCUGAAGCGGACACAUCAGCCCCUCCCCCGCCACCGAUCGUCAUCAACUUCCGUAAAAGCUGUUCUGGAGGUCCAUUGAUCGAUACCGCUCAGCUCGCAUUAAGUAUAGAGGACGCCACACCGUCAGAUUUGGCCAAAAAGCUGGUCAACCAAGUGCUCAAUGCCUCUCAUAAGUCAGAGACCAUUUUGGCUAGAUUGGGGGCGCUUAGAGGCGAAGAGAUGGUCAUAACUCACGAAGGGAGCACCUAUACGAUCAAACUGCCGCAAUUGGUGAAGGCAAGCGAUUUGAAUGGAGUUUUUCAGACGUUAGCGCAGGCGUUAGGAUGCUGUCAAAAUAUAUUUAGUUUGGAACGGACCGUGAAAGACUGUCUCUCAUGUGACGUAAAAAGUGCUCCGACGCCCCCGAAACGCAAGCCGCCCGAACAAGAAGCGGCCACAUCGACUACCCCAGCUGAACCGUCGAUUUCUUCUGAGUCGCCGGUUUUGAGCUUGAACAAAAUUCCCACUGGUGAGUGGGGCAUCGAGGAGGUGAUCCAGUUCAUAGAGUCGGUGGAUCCUUGUUUGGGAGUGCAUGCAGAUUUGUUUCGAAAACAUGCAUGGUUUUGUUCGUAGGUACUGUUUCUUUUUGUAAACAAGCAUGUCAAAGUACCUGUGAACGCAUAAUCAAGAUAAAAAAAAUUCUGAAGAAAUCGACGGCAAGGCCUUCUUGCUCCUAAACUCGGACAUGAUGAUGAAAUACAUGGGCCUGAAAUUAGGUCCGGCUCUCAAAAU